CCUACGGGGGGCUGCAGUGGGGAAUAUUGCACAAUGGGGGAAACCCUGAUGCAGCGACGCCGCGUGAGUGAAGAAGUAUUUCGGUAUGUAAAGCUCUAUCAGCAGGGAAGAAAAUGACGGUACCUGAUUAAGAAGCCCCGGCUAACUACGUGCCAGCAGCCGCGGUAAUACGUAGGGGGCAAGCGUUAUCCGGAUUUACUGGGUGUAAAGGGGGCGUAGACGGCAGCACAAGUCUGGAGUGAAAUGCCGGGGCUUAACCCCGGAACUGCUUUGGAAACUGUGCAGCUAGAGUGCAGGAGAGGUAAGUGGAAUGCGUAGUGUAGCGGUGAAAUGCGUAGAUAUUAGGAGGAACACCAGUGGCGAAGGCGGCGUACUGGACUGUAACUGACGUUGAGGCUCGAAAGCGUGGGGAGCAAACAGGAUUAGAUACCCCUGUAGUC
rnacentral:rRNA from 1 species